AUAAUCCAUGAAAUAAACUACCUCAGCUUUGAUUCAGCAAGCUGCUCUGCAGAAAUGCAGAGGUAUGUCCUCAUGCAGCUGUUUUCUGUGUCAGAGCCUAAGACUGUGUGUUUGCACUCCCAUCCCUUGCCCUGAUUGCAGAUUCAUCAGCGUCGGGACUAUCCCUCUUUUCUAACUACUCAUACACAAAUUCACUUAGCAAAACAGAGUCUGAGGUACCCAGUGAUCUACAGACUUAGGAUUUUAACCUUUGCCUAGCAAUCCUCAGAGUUAGAUGAUACCUCAUGCUCCCACAGCCAACCAAAAUGGAAUCAUAAUUGCUUUAGCCUCAGGAGAUGUCCUCCUUCUGGAUGGCUUCCAGUGUGCUGAAUAUCCAGCCUUCCUUUCCAAGGCUUCACUACUUGUGAAAGAAAAUAAUCAUCUUCUGCUGGUACAGGGGUAAAUUUAGUUCUGUUCCUGUAACUGGAAAGAAUAGAGAGUACAUUGGAUCCAGAGAAGAGCAACUCCAAAUGCUGUUUCCAUCCAGAUUGAUUUCUGGAAAAGCCGGCUUUAUCUGAGCAAUAUUCAGAAAUCUGGGGAGAGCUCUGUGCUACAUCCAUGGUACAGGCUUGAGGAAAAUCUCCAUGGAGCAUUCCAAAGAGAAGAUAAACGUGGACAAUUUGUUUUGAACCUCAUCUCAAGAGCACCAGGAGGAAAGUCCUGGAACCUUCCACCCAAAGUGACAGGACUCUGUGAAAGAGCUGAUGGAACUGCUCUGCAGCUGUGUCUGUGCCACAUUUGCUGGCAGAACCCCAGCAAGGCAGUACAGACCCCACCAGCUGGCUGGGACUGUGAUUUCUCCCCUAUCGUGUGACCUCACAUCCUAAAGAUGUGCCUGACAAUGGGGUAGGUCAUUGUGCUGACACAGGCACCAGGAAAGGAGAUGCUUAAAGGACCCGCAAAAGAGGCAACAGCUGUAGAUAAACACAUAGACAGGCUUAAUGUCAACAGGAACUGCUGAUGGCCAAGCACUUCUGAAAAUUUGGUACACUGCAGUAAGAUGGUGCCAGACUCUCUGGAAAAAUCAGGACUCCAUUGUGAGGGCAGAGCACUUCUGAAAAUGCAGCCUGCAGAACUGGUGCAGAUGGUCUGGCCCCCUCUCAACAGGCACAGAUCACAAUAUCAAGGGCAGCAAGUGGGAUUGGGCUCGUGGGUUGUAGAGGACAAGAGGCAGACAUGAGCUGGCAAGGCAGAGGCUGUCAGGUGCAGCAGCUGUCCCAACAGGCACGUUUGCCAUGACAGGAUGCCAUGUCUCUC